GGAGAGAUGGGUGAGUUGGUUUAAACCAGUCGUUUGCUAAAUGACCGUACGUGGAAACAUGUACCGAGGGUUCGAAUCCCUCUCUCUCCGCCA
rnacentral:tRNA from 3 species